rnacentral:rRNA from 1 species
GACGGAGGGUGCUAGCGUUGUUCGGAUUUACUGGGCGUAAAGCGCACGUAGGCGGCUUUGUAAGUCAGAGGUGAAAGCCUGGAGCUUAACUCCAGAACUGCCUUUGAGACUGCAUCGCUUGAAUCCAGGAGAGGUGAGUGGAAUUCCGAGUGUAGAGGUGAAAUUCGUAGAUAUUCGGAAGAACACCAGUGGCGAAGGCGGCUCACUGGACUGGUAUUGACGCUGAGGUGCGAGAGCGUGGGGAGCAAACAGG